GCUAAUAGCUCAGUGGCAGAGCACCUGCUUUGCAUGCAGACGGUCUCUGGUUCAGUCCCCAGUAUCUCCA